rnacentral:rRNA from 1 species
GGAGUCGCCGUUGAAAUACCACCCUGAAUUGUCUGAGUGUCUAACCGUGGCCCGUUAUCCGGGUCCGGGAAACUGUCUGGUGGGUAGUUUGACUGGGGCGGUCUCCUCCUAAAGGGUAACGGAGGAGUUCGAAGGUACGCUUGGUACGGUCGGAAAUCGUGCCUAAAGUGCAAUGGCAAAAGCGUGCUUGACUGCGAGACCGACAAGUCGAGCAGGUGCGAAAGCAGGACAUAGUGAUCCGGUGGUUCUGUAUGGAAGGGCCAUCGCUCAACGGACAAAAGGUACUCUGGGGAUAACAGG